rnacentral:rRNA from 1 species
CGCAUCUGUGCAUGCAGCAUAUCAAUAAGCGGAGGAAAAGAAACUAACAAGGAUUCCCCUAGUAACGGCGAGUGAAGCGGGAAGAGCUCAAAUUUGAAAUCUUAAAGGGUUUCCCUUUACGAAUUGUAGUUUAAAGAAGUGUUUUCUGUUGAGGUUUUGGUAAAAGUUCUUUGGAAUAGGACAUCAUAGAGGGUGAGAAUCCCGUAUUUGACCUUUACUUUCAACUUUGUGAUACACUUUCAAAGAUGUCGGAUUGUUUGGGAAUGCAGUCCAAAAUGGGUGGUAAAUUUCAUCUAAAGCUAAAUAUUGGCGAGAGACCGAUAGCGAACAAGUACCGUGAGGGAAAGGAUGAAAAGAACUUUGAAAAGAGAGUUAAACAGUACGUGAAAUUGUCCAAAAGGGAAGCGUUUGACACCAGUGUGGUUUUUCUGAAAAUCAAUUAAAGAACUGUUUAUGCUAAGCUGUUUAGACUUUAUCAGCUAAUCUGUUUAGUUUUGAGCUUUUCUUUAAUGCACUUUUCCAGUUAACAAGUCAACAUCAAUUUCUUUUGCUGUAAAAAAGCUUGAGGAAGGUGGCUUGAGAUUCGUCUUAAGUGUUUAUAGCCUCUUGCCUAUGCAGUCGGAGAGAUUGAGGUCUGCAGCGUAGAUCCUUCGGGGCUAAAUGCAUUUGUGCUAAGUUAUAACAUUUUAUAGACAACUUGUUGACUAUGAUUUGUCUUGUAGCUUACUCGCUUAUGUUAUUUUACCUACGCUUAGGAUGUUGAACGCGCACAGAGUCUC